rnacentral:lncRNA from 1 species
GGUAAGCCCGUCCCCUUCUUAAUCAAUACGGAGGCUACCCACUCCACAUUACCUUCUUUUCAAGGGCCUGUUUCCCUUGCCUCCAUAACUGUUGUGGGUAUUAACAGCCAGGCUUCUAAACCUCUUAAAACUCCCCAACUCUGGUGCCAACUUAGACAAUACUCUUUUAAGCACUCCUUUUUCGUUAUCCCCACCUGCCCAGUUCCCUUAUUAGGCUGAGACACUUUAACUAAGUUAUCUGCUUCCCUGACUAUUCCUGGACUACAGCCACAUCUCAUUGCCGCCCUUCUCCCCAACCCAAAGCCUCCUUCGCGUCUUCCUCUCAUAUCCCCCCACCUUAACCCGCAAGUAUGGGACAUCUCUACUCCUUCCCUGGCAACCGAUCACAUGCCCCUUACCAUCCCAUUAAAACCUAAUCACCCUUACCCCGCUCAACGCCAAUAUCCCAUCCCACAGCACGCUUUAAAAAGAUUAAAACCUGUUAUCACUCGCCUGCUACAGCGUGGCCUUUUAAAGCUUAUAAACUCUCCUUACCAUUCCCCCAUUUUACCUGUCCUAAAACCAGACAAGCCUUACAAGUUAGUUCAGAAUCUGCGCCUUAUCAACCAAAUUGUUUUGCCUAUCCACCCCGUGGUGCCAAACCCAUAGACUCUCCUAUCCUCAAUACCUCCCUCUACUACCCAUUAUUCUGUUCUGGAUCUCAAACAUGCUUUCUUUACUAUUCCUUGCACCCUUCAUCCCAGCCUCUCUUUGCCUUCACUUAGACUGACCCUGACACCCAUUAGGCUCAGCAAAUUACCUGGGCUGUACUGCUGCAAGGCUUCACAGACAGCCCCCAUUACUUCAGUCAAGCCCAAAUUUCAUCCUCAUCUGUUAGUCAUACUCCUAUUCACUGUUCUCAACUACUCACACAUGCCCUGCUCUUGUUUACACUGCCGGUUUACACUCUUUCUCCAAGACAUCACAGGUGAUAUCUCCUAGUGCUAUCCCCAAACUGCCACUCUAAACUCUUGAAGUAAAUAAAUAAUCUUUGCCGGCAGGACUAUGCUGAAUCUCCUUAGGCACUCUCUAAUUAGAUGGCCUAGGUCCUCCCAAUUCUUAGUCCUUUUAUACCUGUUUUUCGCCUUCUCAUAUUCCAUUUAGUUUUUCAAUUCAUACAAAACCGUAUCCAGGCCAUCACCAAUCAUUCUAUAUGACAAAUGUUUCUUCUUACAUCCCCACAAUAUCACCCCUUACCACAAGACCUCCCUUCAGCUUAAUCUCUCCCACUCUAGGUUCCCACGCCGCCCCUAAUCCCACUUGAAGCAGCUCUGAGAAACAUCACCCAUUCUCUCUCCAUAACACCCCCAAAAAUUUUUGCCGCCUCAACACUUCAACACUAUUUUGUUUUAUUUUUCUUAUUAAUAUAAGAAGGCAGGAAUGUCAGGCCUCUGAGCCCAAGCCAAGCCAUCGCAUCCCCUGUGACUUGCACGUAUACGCCCAGAUGGCCUGAAGUAACUGAAGAAUCACAAAAGAAGUGAAAAGGCCCUGCCCCGCCUUAACUGAUGACAUUCCACUAUUGUGAUUUGUUCCUGCCCCACCUUAACUGAGUGAUUAACCCUGCGAAUUUCCUUCUCCUGGCUCAGAAGCUCCCCCACUGAGCACCUUGUGACCCCCCACCCCUGCCCACCAGAGAACAACCCCCUUUGACUAAUUUUCCAUUACCUUCCCAAAUCCUAUAAAACGGCCCCACCCCUAUCUCCCUUCGCUGACUCUCUUUUCGGACUCAGCCCACCUGCACCCAGGUGAAAUAAACAGCCAUGUUGCUCACACGGAGCCUGUUUGGUGGUCUCUUCACACAGACGCGCAUGAAACUGUCCUCCGGGGUCCUUGGUCCAACUAAUAGGUGGACACAGAUCCUUUGUCAACAGAGCAGGGCUGGCUGUGAGCACAGAGUAGGAACCUCAGCGCUACCUGGGGGGUCAGGCAGGCUUCCUGGAAGACGUGAGGCUGUGCUGGGCUCGAAGGGUCAGACCCAAGACCAUAUGCAGCGGGCACACCUGUGCAGGGCACCAGCAAUGGUGCAGGGCCGCUGAUGCG